rnacentral:rRNA from 1 species
GAUGAACGCUGGCGGCGUGCUUAAUACAUGCAAGUCGAGCGAACAGACGAGGAGCUUGCUCCUUUCACGUUAGCGGCGGGCGGGUGUGUAACACAUGGAUAACCUACCUAUAAGUCUGGGAUAACUUCGGGACACCGGCGCUAAUCCCGGAUAAUAUAUUGAUCCGCAUGGUUCAAUAGUGAAAGACGGUUUUGGUGUCACUUAUAGAUGGAUCCCGGCCGCAUUAGCUAGUUGGUAAGGUCACGGGUUACCAAGGCAACGAGGCGUAGCCGACCUGUGAGGGUGAUCGGCCACCCUGGAGCUGAGACACGGUCCAGACGCCUACGGGAGGCAGCAGUAGGGAAUCUGACGCAAUGGGCGGAAGCCUGACGGAGCGACGCCGCGUGAGUGAUGAAGGUCUUCGGAGCGUGAAACUCUGUUAUUAGGGAAGAACAAAUGUGUAAGUAACUAUGCACGGCUUGACGGUACCUAAUCAGAAAGCCACGGCUAACUACGUG